rnacentral:rRNA from 1 species
GGAGUAAAAGUCGUAACAAGGUUUCCGUAGGUGAACCUGCGGAAGGGAUCAUUAUUGAAAUAAACCUGAUGGGUUGUUGCUGGUUCUCUAGGGAGCAUGUGCACACCUUGUCAUCUUUAUAUCUCCACCUGUGCACUUUUUGUAGACCUUUUCGGGUCUAUGUUGCUUCAUUUUACCCCAAUGUAUGUCAAUAGAAUGUUGUGCCUAUAUAAUAAUAUAUACAACUUUCAGCAACGGAUCUCUUGGCUCUCGCAUCGAUGAAGAACGCAGCGAAAUGCGAUAAGUAAUGUGAAUUGCAGAAUUCAGUGAAUCAUCGAAUCUUUGAACGCACCUUGCGCUCCUUGGUAUUCCGAGGAGCAUGCCUGUUUGAGUGUCAUUAAUAUAUAUAUCAACCUUCUCUUGUUGAGUGGUUUGGAUGUGGGGGUUUGCUGGGCUUCUUAUAAAGAGGUUCAGCUCCUCUGAAAUGCAUUAGCAGAACAACCUUGUUCAUUGGUGUGAUAACUAUCUACGCUAUUGAAUGUUAGGGACAGUUCAGCUUUCUAACAGUCCUAGGACAAUUCA